UACGUAGGGUGCAAGCGUUGUCCGGAAUUAUUGGGCGUAAAGAGCUUGUAGGCGGUUUGUCGCGUCUGCUGUGAAAUUUCGGGGCUCAACCCCGAACUUGCAGUGGGUACGGGCAGACUAGAGUGUGGUAGGGGAGACUGGAAUUCCUGGUGUAGCGGUGAAAUGCGCAGAUAUCAGGAGGAACACCGGUGGCGAAGGCGGUUCUCUGGGCAUUACCUGACGCUGAGACGCGAAAGCGUGGGGAGCGAACAGG
rnacentral:rRNA from 1 species